GAUGAACGCUAGCUACAGGCUUAACACAUGCAAGUCGAGGGGCAGCGCAGUGUAGCAAUACAUGGGCGGCGACCGGCGCACGGGUGCGUAACGCGUAUCCAACCUUCCCGUUACUCAGGGAUAGCCUUCCGAAAGGGAGAUUAAUACCUGAUGGUGUUCAAAUUCCGCAUGUUAUUUGAACUAAAGAUUUAUCGGUAACGGAUGGGGAUGCGUGACAUUAGGUAGAUGGCGGGGUAACGGCCCACCAUGCCUACGAUGUCUAGGGGUUCUGAGAGGAAGGUCCCCCACACUGGAACUGAGACACGGUCCAGACUCCUACGGGAGGCAGCAGUGAGGAAUAUUGGUCAAUGGUCGGAGACUGAACCAGCCAAGUAGCGUGAAGGAUGAAGGUUCUAUGGAUUGUAAACUUCUUUUAUACGGGAAUAACACCAUCUAACGUGUAGAUGCCUGCAUGUACCGUAUGAAUAAGCAUCGGCUAAACUCCGUGCCAGCAG
rnacentral:rRNA from 1 species